UUUGGUUUAGUUUAGUGGCGGACGGGUGAGUAACGCGUGGGUAACCUGCCCUAUACAGGGGGAUAACAGUUGGAAACGACUGUUAAUACCGCAUAAGCGCACAGGAGCGCAUGCUCCGGUGUGAAAAACUCCGGUGGUAUAGGAUGGACCCGCGUCUGAUUAGCUGGUUGGCGGGGUAACGGCCCACCAAGGCGACGAUCAGUAGCCGGCCUGAGAGGGUGAACGGCCGCAUUGGGAUUGAGACACGGCCCAAACUCCUACGGGAGGCAGCAG
rnacentral:rRNA from 1 species